rnacentral:rRNA from 1 species
UGGGGAAUCUUGCACAAUGGGGGAAACCCUGAUGCAGCGACGCCGCGUGAGCGAUGAAGCCCUUCGGGGUGUAAAGCUCUUUCGGCAGGGAAGAUUAUGACGGUACCUGCAGAAGCAGCUGCGGCUAACUACGUGCCAGCAGCCGCGGUAAUACGUAGGCAGCAAGCGUUGUUCGGAGUUACUGGGCGUAAAGGGUGUGUAGGUGGCCUGUUAAGUUCCGUGUGAAAUCUCCCGGCUCAACCGGGAGGGUGUGCGGAAAACUGGCGGGCUAGAGUACGGGAUGGGAGAGUAGAAUUCCUGGUGUAGCGGUGAAAUGCGUAGAUAUCAGGAGGAAUACCGGUGGUGUAGACGGCUCUCUGGACCGUAACUGACACUGAGACACGAAAGCGUGGGUAGCAAACAG